AGCAGCCGCGGUAAUUCCAGCUCCAAUAGCGUAUAUUAAAGUUGUUGCAGUUAAAAAGCUCGUAGUUGAAUUUCGGAAUCUGUCCGUUGGUCGGGCUUCAUUGUCCGUACUGGUGUGAUGGGUUCUUACCUUCUGAAUAACCAGCAUGCCAUUCAUUUGGUGCGUUGGGGAAGCAGGACUAUUACCUUGAAAAAAUUAGAGUGCUCAAAGCAGGCUAGUGCCUGAAUACAUUAGCAUGGAAUAAUAAAAUAGGACGGCAUGGUUCUAUUUUGUUGGUUUCUAGGAUCACCGUAAUGAUUAAUAGGGAUAGUUGGGGGCAUUAGUAUUCAAUUGUCAGAGGUGAAAUUCUUGGAUUUAUUGAAGACUAACUUCUGCGAAAGCAUUUGCCAAGGAUGUUUUCAUUAAUCAAGAACGAAAGUUAGGGGAUCGAAGACGAUCAGAUACCGUCGUAGUCUUAACCAUAAACUAUGCCGACUAGGGAUCGGNCGAUGUUAAUUUUUUAAUGACUCG
rnacentral:rRNA from 1 species